UACAGAGGGUGCGAACGUUGCUCGGAAUUACUGGGCGUAAAGGGCUCGUAGGCGGCCAACUAAGUCGGACGUGAAAUCCCCAGCUCAACCUGGGAACUGCGUCUGAUACUGGAUGGCUUGAAUCCGGGAGAGGGAUGCAGAAUUCCAGGUGUAGCGGUGAAAUGCGUAGAUAUCUGGAGGAAUACCGGUGGCGAAGGCGGCAUCCUGGACCGACAUUGACGCGUGAGGAGCGAAAGCUAGGGGAGCAACGGG
rnacentral:rRNA from 1 species